UUGAACUCAGGACCUCUUGAAGAGCAGCCAGUGCUCUUAACCACUAAGCCAUCUCUCAAGCCCCUGUAAAUGGAUCUUGAGGUUCGUGCACUUCAAUUGCCAAUGCAAAAUGUAUAUCUCUCACUGUGAAUCGCAGCAAAAACCAAGAAGACAUCAUGACAGGAAGAGUAUACCUGGCCCUAAUAUUUCAUCUCUGAUAAAAGUGAGCUGUUAAGAACUGACAAGGUGCUCCUCCCUUAUGUGAGAUGCAUAUGAGAUAAGCAGAUGUGCUUGAAACUGUGAAGAGCUCUACUGAUGCAAAGUGCUGAGCAUCACCAUCACCGGGAAGGAGCAGGGAGAAGGGUGUUUGCAUCCUUUCUCUGUAAACACUUCCCGUGGCAACCUGUGAACACACAGACGCACUGGAACCCAGAGAGGGCACCCUUUGCAGCUUUCUAGAAGCCUGAUGCAUUAUGGAUUCUGGUGGAGAAUCUUGGGAGAAUCACAUAAACCACUAAGGACUUGGCCAGAAUGAAAAUAUGUAAACACCCAGAAUGUUAUACUUGUACUGGUAAUAAAAUAUUA